GCCCGCGGUGGCUCAGAUGGAUAGAGCGUCUGCCAUGUAAGCAAGAGAUCCCGGGUUCGAUUCCCGGUCGUGGCA
rnacentral:tRNA from 1 species